GCCUGACCCAGCGACGCCGCGUGAGGGAAGAAGGUCUUCGGAUUGUAAACCUCUUUCAGCAGGGAAGAAGAAAGUGACGGUACCUGCAGAAGAAGUCACGGCUAACUACGUGCCAGCAGCCGCGGUAAUACGUAGGUGGCGAGCGUUAUCCGGAAUUACUGGGUGUAAAGGGUGUGUAGGCGGGGUGUCAAGUCAGAUGUGAAAACUGUGGGCUCAACCCACAAACUGCAUUUGAAACUGAUAUUCUUGAGAGUGGGAGAGGUAAACGGAAUUCCUGGUGUAGUAGUGAAAUGCGUAGAUAUCAGGAGGAACACCGGUGGCGAAGGCGGUUUACUGGACCACAACUGACGCUGAGACACGAAAGCGUGGGGAGCAAACAGGAUUAGAUACCCUGGUAGUCCACGCUGUAAACGAUGAAUACUAGGUGUGGGGAUCGUAGGAUUUCCGUGCCGCAGUUAACGCAAUAAGUAUUCCACCUGGGGAGUACGGCCGCAAGGUUGCAACUCAAAUGAAUUGACGGA
rnacentral:rRNA from 1 species